CGAAACAUUGAUGAUCCUACAGACCUGUAAUGAUUUGUGAAAAUGAUCACAAAUGUUAAGUGAACAUCUAAGGGACUGAGUUUCU
rfam:Citrus clementina cultivar Clemenules unplaced genomic scaffold scaffold_9, whole genome shotgun sequence.